rnacentral:misc_RNA from 1 species
CCAAACUUGGUCAUUUAGAGGAAGUAAAAGUCGUAACAAGGUUUCCGUAGGUGAACCUGCGGAAGGAUCAUUACCAAUCAGCGGGAGGCCUCGCGGCCUUCCGUACUGCCUGUUUGGCCGCCUUAACUGCGCGGUCAACUGGUUAACCCUUUGUGAACCAAAAAACCUUUCGCUUCGGCAGCUGGGCUUUAACCGGCCUGUCAGCCUGCCGUUAGCACCCUUCAAAAACUUGUUGUCAAAACAUUGUCUGAUAACCAAAUUUUCGAAUGAAAAUUAAAACUUUCAACAAUGGAUCUCUUGGUUCCCGCAUCGAUAAAGAACGCAGC